GAUGAACGCUGGCGGCGUGCUUAACACAUGCAAGUCGAACGAGAAAUGAAGAUGGAAACCUUCGGGCGGAAGCCUUCAUUUCGAGUGGCGGACGGGUGAGUAACGCGUGGGUAACCUGCCUCAUACAGGGGGAUAACAGUUGGAAACGACUGUUAAUACCGCAUAAGACCACAGCAUCGCAUGGUGCGGGGGUAAAAACUCCGGUGGUAUGAGAUGGACCCGCGUUCGAUUAGCCAGUUGGCGGGGUAACGGCCCACCAAAGCGACGAUCGAUAGCCGAUCUGAGAGGAUGACCGGCCACAUUGGGACUGAGACACGGCCCAAACUCCUACGGGAGGCAGCAGUGGGGAAUAUUGCACAAUGGGGGAAACCCUGAUGCAGCGACGCCGCGUGAGUGAAGAAGUACUUCGGUAUGUAAAGCUCUAUCAGCAGGGAAGAAAAUGACGGUACCU
rnacentral:rRNA from 1 species